rnacentral:siRNA from 1 species
GGACCGGAUGGUAUGACGACACUG